rnacentral:rRNA from 1 species
UACGGGGGGAGCAAGCGUUGUUCGGAUUUACUGGGCGUAAAGGGCGCGUAGGCGGCCAGCACAAGUCAGUUGUGAAAUCUCCGAGCUUAACUCGGAAAGGUCAACUGAUACUGUGCGGCUAGAGUGCGGAAGGGGCAACUGGAAUUCUUGGUGUAGCGGUGAAAUGCGCAGAUAUCAGGAGGAACACCGGUGGCGAAGGCGGGUCUCUGGGCAACAACUGACGCUGAGGAGCGAAAGCGUGGGGAGCGAACAGG